CAUUUCUCUCCACCCGGAAGUUUCUAGGAGAGAGGUCAAAGCGCAUGCGUACCGAGCCGCAAGUCUUCCCCACUAAGCUCCGCCCCGCGCGCUCAGCGUCCUGAAGGAGAGGGCGGGCCUGAGUCUUGGAGCUCCUCCUACUACACCAAGUGCUUUGAAUCCUGGGUUCGUCAGAAAAGCUCUAGAAAACGCCCUAGGAGUUAGAGCUAACUUGACCGUGAUCCAUUUUUCCUUAUAGUCAGACGGGACAGCUGGGAAGAAACUAUGAAAAACUGUGAAAGAAAGUCUUAGCGCGUUCACCUCCCGCACUCCUACCAGAACUACACUCGCACCCGCAGGGACGAAAGCAUCUCUGACUUUAUUCGGUAGUAAGUCCAAACGGUGCUAAGAGAAACCCAGGAAGUGGUGGUGACAAGACACUGAGAACUAGGAAGGAGAUGAAAAACUCACCAACCGAAGCAUUGCAAACACUGGGACCUCACAGAGAAGAGUAGCUGACCAGUGGCAGAACUCCAGUGUUUCUGGGUCUCAUGACCGAAUCCUAUCUAAAUAUCGCACCACUGAGUCUUUACAGUUAAUCAAGUCUUAAGAGUUGGAAGCAGUGGUCGGUGAAAAAAAGGCAAAGGUAUUUCAGAUAUUGAUUAUAGCCAUCAAUCAAAGGACACCCUCUCAUAUGCUUCCAAAAGCUCAAGAAGAGCAUCCUUUGCCUGGGAGUUUUCUCUCCUGUUUUCAGGAAGAAAAGGGAGGUCAGUGUGCCUUUCUUUUAUCUAUUGUUUUUCUAAUGUCUUUAGCUCAAAACAAUAAAUAUACAAAGUUGGUAUAUUUUGGGGUGGCAUGUUUCAAACCCCUACAUUCACAUCAUCUCUCUAAAUAGGAUGUAAUACGGCUGCUGCCUGGGGUUUUACUUACUAAAAGUUAAUCACAUUCUAGACUUGCCACCCAAGAUUGCACCUACCUUGUUUUGACUGGAGUUUGAGGCAUUUCUAAACUUUUUCGUCCUGUAGUUUUACAUAGCCUUCAAGUUUAGUCCUACAAAGUCACUAAU